UACGUAGGGUCCAAGCGUUAUCCGGAAUCACUGGGCGUAAAGCGUGCGUAGGUGGAUUGUUAAGUGCGAUGCGAAAUCCUGUGGCUCAACCAUAUGGACUGUAUCGCAUACUGGCUAUCUUGAGGACAUGAGAGGCAAGUGGAAUUACUGGUGUAGCAGUGAAAUGCGUAGAGAUCAGUAGGAACACCAAUGGCGAAGGCAGCUUGCUGGGCAUGUAUCUGACGCUAAGGCACGAAAGCGUGGGGGAGCGAACAGG
rnacentral:rRNA from 1 species